GUCUCGCAACGAGCGCAACCCCUAUCUUUAGUUACCAUCAUUCAGUUGGGGACUCUAAAGAUACUGCCCCGGUCAACGGGGAGGAAGGUGGGGAUGACGUCGAGUCCUCAUGGCCUUUAUGUCCAGGGCUACACACGUGCUACAAUGGGCUGCACAAAGGGUCGCGACCUCGCGAGAGUGAGCCAAUCCCAAAAAACAGUCCAUAGUUCGGAUUGGAGUCUGCAACUCGACUUCAUGAAGCUGGAAUCGCUAGUAAUCGCGGAUCAGCAUGCCGCGGUGAAUACGUUCCCGGGCCUUGUACACACCGCCCGUCACACCAU
rnacentral:rRNA from 1 species